GAAGUUUCAAGUGUAAAAAAGUGG
rnacentral:miRNA from 1 species